AUCAAUAUUGUAGAGGGUUUUUUAAAUAGUUUUUGUUUUGUUCUGUUUUUCUUUCCAGUUCUAACCAGUGAAGAAAAAGGGAGAUAAAGCAAGGCUGGCAGAUUGGUGGUAUGCAGCUGAGCAAAGACUGACGUCAUCAGGGCGUCGAUGCUGACAUGUUUGUGAGCACCGGCGGAAGUGACGCAGUUUUAGCUUUCUCUACGCAAGGACGGGGAACAGCGCGGGGAAACCAACUUGCUGUCUCUACGAAAAACAUCAUCUGGAAGUUAACGUGCUAAACACGUUUUAGCAAGGUUCAAUUUAAGAGAACCAGAAAAAAAAAA